UACGCAGGGGGCUAGCGUUGUCCGGAUUUAUUGGGCGUAAAGAGCGUGUAGGCGGCCAGGUAGGUCUGGUGUGAAAACUCGAGGCUCAACCCCGAGCGGUCGUGAGAAACUGGCAGGCUAGAGUGCGGGAGAGGAGAGUGGAAUUCCUGGUGUAGCGGUGAAAUGCGCAGAUAUCAGGAAGAACACCCGUGGCGAAGGCGGCUCUCUGGAACGCAACUGACGCUGAGACGCGAAAGCGUGGGGAGCAAACAGG
rnacentral:rRNA from 1 species